rnacentral:lncRNA from 1 species
AUUAGAAAAAUAUAAAUCCAACUUAAGUCAGUCUGGAUCUGAUGCUGCUACUAGUUCCAAGGAUUUGCAAGAGGGAAAUAAAGCUGAGGCAGAUGUCAAGCAUAAUAUAGUUCCCAGGCAAGAAGUGAUAAACAAAUUAAGAGAUAGAGGAGAACCGAUCUUGUUAUUUGGGGAAUCAGAAAUUGACGCUUGCAAGCGUCUUAGAAAGUGCGAACUUCUUGAGCCUGAAGUCAAUAGAGGAUUCAGGAAUGAUUUGUAAGAGGCCAUGGAACAAGUUGAUCAAGAAUAUUUAAAUGAUUUUCUAAAGUCAAAUUCAUCAGGAAAUGGCACAAAAACUAAGGGUCACCUGGAAAAGCCCAGCGUUACAUAUGAAGAGAUUUUCGAAAUGGCCAAGAAAAUGGGACGGGGAAACAGAGAACAUGACAUGUCCACUAUAGUACAUUUUAUACAGGUAAGUACGAUUUUAAAGUAAUAACUUGAAUUAAUUUUAUACGCUCGAUAAU